AUUUUAUAAAGAGUAGAUGAAGUGAGGCUAUAUGUGGGCACUUUAUGCCUCACGGAUACAGUGGUGCAACCGGCUUUAUGUCGG
rnacentral:ncRNA from 19 species